rnacentral:piRNA from 1 species
UGGCAAAGAAAAGGUUUCCACAUACUU